CCUCUGGAGUAUCACACCAACGAAAGUAGUUUCUUGAAAAAGUACAAAAUCGGAUACUGAGAAAGAGGAA
rnacentral:ncRNA from 1 species